rnacentral:lncRNA from 1 species
UAUAUAUAUAUAUAUAUAUAUAUAUAUAAAUACACGCACACACACACAUAUAUAUACUCACAUGCACACAUAUAUACAUAUAUACAUAUAUAGAUUUAUAUGCAUGUAUUAUGCAUACAUAUAUACGCACAUACACACAAAUGAGAACCGAGAUGACGUUCUCCCACAUCAACUGAAGAAUCAGAAUUUUUUCCAAACUGGAUACGUAACGAACAUCAUAGGACCAAGGUGAGUGCUAACUGGUCAUUCUUAUUUGUUUCGUAGAGUGUGUGUGUGUGAGUGUGUGUGUGUGGGGGCAUUCAUGAGCGCCCUCCCCCCCCCACAUUAUCUUUUACUUGUUUCAUUCAUUGGACUGGUGCCAUGCUGGGGCGACUUCUUGGAGGAUUUUACAACAAAUCGACUCCAGUACUUUGUAUGUAUGUAUGUAUGUAUGUAUGUAUGUAUGUAUGUAUGUAUGUAUGUAUGUAUGUAUGUGUGUACGUAUGUGUGUAUGUAUGUGUGUAUGUGUGUAUGUAUGUGUGUAUGUAUGUAUGUAUGUGUAUAUAUAUAUAUAUAUAUAUAUAUAUAUUUAAAUAUAUAUAUAUACAUAUGUAUGCACACACACACACCCACACACACAUAUAUAUAUAUACAUACACACACAUUUGAAGUCGGGUAAUUAAUUGUAUUGUUCAGUUUUGAUGAAUCGCUAAGUAUAUAUAUGUAUAUGUAUGUGUGUGUGUUCUUGUAGAGUAUAAUGCAUGUAUAUGUGUGCAUAUGUGUGCAUGUGUGUUCAUGUGUGUCUGUGUGUGUUCAAAUGCAUGUGUUUGCAUGAAAGAGAAUUCAAGAAUCAUAGAUUGAUGAACAAAACACCAAACUAAGAACCGGAAGAAUCAACGUCGUAAGAUGUACCCGUGUCUAUGUCGCUGUCACUUCCUAUUCGUUCAGUGUACCUACCCGUAUGUGAGUACCAUGGGGCAAGAAACCAAGCCGUACUCAAUGAUCCAAGACUGGAAGUGGGAUGAGCAUGUUUUAUUAUUAUUAUUAUUAUUAUUAUUAUUAUUAUUAUUAUUAUUAUUAUUGUUAUUGUUAUUAUUAUUAUUAUUAUUAUUAUUAUUAUUAAUAUUAUUAUUAUUAUUAUUAUUAUUAUUAUUAUUAUCAUUAUUAUUAUUAUUAUUAUUAUUAUUAUUAUCAUUAUUAUUAUUGUUAUUAUCAUUAUUAUUAUUGUUAUUAUUAUUAUUAUUAUUAUUAUGUCAUUCCGCUGAGGAUUAUCUUAAGGAUCCCUGAUAGCUGUAGAAUACUCAGCUAUCCCCUACGCCUAAAUUUAACGGGAGCGUUGUUAACUGACUGAGCAAGGUCAAUGAUCAUCUUCGAAACCCCGAAGGAAGAUCUUUUACAUAUAUUCAUACAUACAAGCAUGCAAGCAUACAUGUAUACAUAUAUGCAAACAUACGUAUACGCAUGCAUACAUAUGUGCAUAUAUACGUACAGUCAUUCGCAUAUACAUUGAAAAAUAUAUAUAUUCAUGCAUGUCCGUAUUCUUUUGCUCUCUUAUUCUUCUAUUCUUUUACUUGUUUCAGUCGUUUGACUGCGGCCAUGCUGGAGCACCGCCUUUAGUCGAGCAAAUCGACACCCAGAACUUAUUCUUUGUAAGCCUUGUACUUAUUCUAUCGGUCUCUUUUGCCGAACCGCUAAGUUAUGGGUACGUAAACAAACCAACAUCUCUUGUCAAGCGAUGUUGGGAGGACAAACACAGACAUACAAACAUAUACAGAUACAUGCAUAUAUAUAUAUAUAUAUAUAUACGACGGGCUUCUUUCAGUUUCCGUCUACCAAAUCCACUCACAAGUCUUUGGUCGGCUCGAGACUAUAGUAGAAGAUACUUGACCAAGGUGCCACGCAGUGGGACUGAACCCAUAACCAUGUGGUUGGUAAGCAAGCUUCUUACCACGUAGCCAAACAAAACAUUUACACGUGGUAUACGCUAGAAUAUUUAUGACAGAGAGUAGUGAGAUGGCAGUAACUCACUUCUAUACUUACGAGUGAAUAUAUGUUUACACACACACACACACACACACACACAUUCACAAACACGCACACGCGCAUAUACAUACCCAAUCACAUAAACAUAUUCUCAAACGCGCAAACACCCAAUUAUUUAUCCAUCAUUUUGUUCACCCUUCAUUGGUUCCGUUAUACCAUAUUCGCCAAUGUACAACGGGCUUUUUUGUUUAUGUUUAGAUAGACCCUGAAAACUUAAUCUGCGUCAAAUGUGGCCAUAUAACAGAUAGGAGACCGAGUGCCGUAUGCUAGUGAGCCGGAUAAGCAUAAGUCCAUUAAGUACAAUAGUUGUUACUAAUAAUUAAAUAUUCGAUUCAAAUUUUGCCACAAGGCAAGCAAUUCCGAGUGAGAGGUUCAGGCGACUACAGCGACCUCUGUGUCCAAAUAGUAUUUAUUUUAUCGACUACAGAAGGAUGAAAGGCAAAGUUGACCUCAGCGGGAUUUGAACUCGGAACGUCCGAAAUGCAGCUAAGCGUUUGCCCCUGCGUGCCAAAGAUUCUGCCAGCUGGCCACCUUCACUAAUAAUUAAAUACUGAAAAACAAGUCAAACUAUCACAGUCCAUUAGAACAAACUUAUGAAAAUUUGCUUAAGGUACGGCAUUUAUGUGGGGAGUUUUCAUCAUCUCUUUAUAACCCCUUCCCUAGCUUUAUGUAACCCACACCUGAUGUGUGUCUUACAUUAUUCAAUGGCUGUGUUACCUUUGAGAAACAUUUUUUACUGUUUGAAUGAAAACUUCUCCUACAAAGUUGAAUGUUAAACUUCCAUCCAUUUGUCAUCUUUUGGAUGACAACAAAGCUAUAGCGAUGGCGCAGCAUGCAGGUGGUUGAUUGCGUUUGCAUAAGACAUCACAAGUAAAAAUACGAGUUUUACAUCCUGUUUGAUAAUUCUAUUGACCAAAGUAAUAUAAACAAAUAUUUCUGAUGAUUUGAAAGAAGAUAAUGUCGUAGAGAUACGUUACUACCCUAAAAUAGUUUAUAUAUCCUUAAAAUAGUUUAUAAAUCCAUAGGCGCAGGAUUACGAACCACAUGGUUCCGGGUUCAGUCCCACUGUGUGGCACCUUGAGCAAGUGUCUUCUACUAUAGCCUCGGGCCGACCAAAGCCUUGUGAGUGGAUUUGGUAGACAGAAACUGAAAGAAGCCUGUCGUAUAUAUAUAUAUAUAUAUAUAUAUAUAUAUAUAUAUAUAUAUGUGUGUGUGUGUGUGUGUGUGUGUGUGUGUGUGUGUGUGUGUAUGUUUGUGUGUCUGUGCUUGUCCCUCAACAUCACUUGAUAACCGAUGCUGGUGUGUUUACGUCCCCGUAACUUAGCGGUUCGGCAAAAGAGACUGAUAGAAUAAGUACUAGGCUUACAAAGAAUAAGUCCUGGGGUCGAUUUGCUCGACUAAAGGCGGUGUUCCAGCAUGGCCACAGUCACAUGACUGAAACUAGUAAAAGAGUAAAGAGAGUAUAUGAUAGAUUUACAGUUUCCUUCUUCAUCCCAGCAUCCCAUGUCAAUAACAUUGCAUUUCGAUGCCCAGAAUCACGCGUUUUCCCGUCCAAAACUACUUUAAAAUACCUUUCAGUAAGUGUAUCUUUUAUCUUUUAACGUUUACUUGUUUCAGUCAUUAGACUGCGGCCAUACUGGGGCACCGCCUUGAGGAAUUUUAGUCGCACUAAUCGACCCCACUACUUAUUUUCUUUUUUAAGUUUGGUACUUAUUCUGUCAGUCUCUUUGGUCGAAUCGCUAAGUUACGGGGAUGUAAACACAGUAAUACCGGUUGUCAAGUGGUGGUGGGGGAGAAACACAGUCACGACGUACAAACACAGAGAAAAAGACACACACACACACACAUACACACGCGUAUAUGAUGGGCUUCUUUCAGUUUCCGUCUACCAAAUCCGCUCACAAGGCAUUGGUCGGAUCGAGGCUAUAGUAGAACACAUUUACAAAAAGUGUCACCUAGUCAGAGUGUAUUCGAGACCAAAUGGUUGGGAAGCCUUGCCUGAUCCUAUAAUAUCAUGAAACACAUUAAAUUUGUUUUUUCUAUAAAGUAACUUUGUGAAAUAGGGAUUCGUCAAAUGCAAGGGUCUCUCUUAUACACUGGUUAAUACAAUAAUUAACAUUUUCAAACCCAGUCAGCUGAAAACUAUUCCUGGUCCCAUAAUAACAGUUACUCACCUAAAAUUGUUCUUAAUCGAGCAAAAAUUGUUGAAUCUCCAUAUUGAUGGUGAAUCUGCUUGAAAAUACUAAAUAGAACUGAUGGUCAUGCUUGGAACACCUUAGAUUAGCGGUUCCCAAACGGUUUGCUUUUACCCACGGCACAUAUUAGAGCAAAUACACUUUGAAAAAAUUCUAGUAAAUUUUGUAUCAAUUCAAAAAAUGUAGUCAAUAAAAGGCACGGGCAUAAUCUAUCUAUCUAUCUAUCUAUCUAUCUAUCUAUCUAUCUAUCUAUCUAUCUAUCUAUCUAUCUAUCUAUCUAUCUGUCUGUCUGUCUGUCUGUCUGUCUGUCUGUCUGUCUGUCUGUCUGUCUGCCUGCCUGCCUGCCUGCCUGCCUAUCUGUCUGUCUGUCUGUCUGUCUAUCUAUCUAUGUGUUUUCGUGUGUGCGUGCGUAUAUAUAUAUAUAUAUAUAUAUAUAUAUAUAUAUAUAUAUAUAUAUAUAUAUAUAUAUGCAUGUAUGUAUAUAAUAACUUUUGAAUGAUGAGGUAACGUAUUUCACUCAUAAAAAUAUUAGUUAAAUUAACUUCAAUCGUGUUUGUUUUGUUUUGGAGAGAUUUCUAUAAAGCUUCAACUGUCAUUGUAGAAGUAUCUAUGGAAGACUGGUAGGAUUAUUAUUUGUAUGGACCUAAAGAUUGCAUUUUAGCAUAUAGUUUAGCUAUUGCAGUUUACUAUUAAUACCGAUACAAUGUAUAUUGGUUUAUAUGUUUCUUUGUUGUUGUUUUAUUAAAGUUAGUGUUUAAUCCUGCCUAUAAAUUGAUUUAUUGAAAUAAUGUGCUUAUUAAGCUUUUACGUUUAUAUUAUACUACGGAAGACGGUAGGGAUCAUAAUUAUUGUAUGACUUAAUAAAUUGUCGCUGUUUAGUUACGUAUUUAGGAGUUGGUUGUAAUUUAUUAAAUUUGUUUAUCGAUUCGGUUGUACAUAGGGUAAAUGGGUUUGAAAGGUGUGCUUCCUUUGGUUUGUUUGUUUCCAAACAACACUUCUUUUAGUGCUGUUGACACCUCUGGAUUGAAUGGUACUACCCAGGUGUCGAAACCAUAGUGAUAUCCGUGGGGCACCUGAUGAUGGAGGUGUGUUGGAUUGUUGGUAUGGCUGUGGAAUAAUAUUAUAACACAUCCUUUGUAUGUAUGUAUGUAUGUAUAUAUAUAUAUAUAUAUAUAUAUAUAUAUAUAUAUAUAUAUUUAUAUAUAUAUAUAUACACGCAUAUAUAUUUACAACUAUAUAUAUAAGUAUAUAGUUAGUGUUCAAUAAAUCAUGAUAUGAACCUGGUAGUUUGCCGGUAAAGCACGUUCACUGACUUCGUGUUCGUUGGGUAUAUAAUUAAUGAGAGAGACGGAAGAUGGAAGAUACGAGAAUCUUUAUUGAUUACUACAAUCGUUUCUCAUCUAGCAUCGAUCCCUCGCGAGUGGAAUACUAUGCGACUAGUUUAAGUGUACCCCUCGGAGUAGAUGUGUCUCCUCAGGUUAUUUCAAGUGGUAUCUCGUUAAGAUAAACUCCGUUUCGUAAACUUAUUUCUGUAUGUUUUGUACUUGGUCUUCGGGUAUAGAAAUGGAAAAUUAAGGAUGUACCACCCCUCUCGUUUUCUCGCUCACUCUUUCUAUCUGUAUGUGCAUAUUUAUGUGCGUGUGUGCUUUUGCCUCCAGUGCCAAAAAGUACUGUCGCCAAUACUGGUUGAAUGUUAAGUCAUCCGAGCCAAAACAUCGGCGUCGAAUCAGCCACGUCCAUUCGUUUCAUUCUGCUCAACUUGACCCUGGUCUCGAUACCAUUCUUAGGCAUCAAUUAGGGACCUUGCUGAGAUACGGUUGAGGCUCUGUGAUCCAAUUUGAAAUCUCUUAUAAAAGCAAUACAGUUGGACUGGCCAAAUUUCUUGAAAGGUCUAACGACUGGAUGCUAAAACACGUUGAAAACUACGAGAGACGUAGGAAGCGUUAUUCUGUCAUGAAGGAGGCCAAAAAAUUUGCUAGUGAGUUCCUGCGUAAUACCCAGGUUGAACAGCGUGAUGGAAGUGCCGCAACUGUUGUUGCAAAGAAGGUGAAAUCAAUGGCAAAGCAUCUUUCCUGAAGCUGAUUCCGCAUUAUGCACCUACAGCAAUAUUAAUUUUGGUUUUGGCAGCCAUUAUUGCUGAAACAACUCAGUCAACUGCGUUGGGACUGUUUCGAGUUUAUUUCUGUGUCUAUUGUGAAAGUAAUGUCAAAUCUAAGAAAAGAGAAAAAAAAAAAGAAAAAGAAGAAAAAGAAAAUAAUGAAAAGCUUGUUGUGGUUUGCAGCACCAAGGAAUUCCAAUAUGAAUUCAUUCUGGGUAGUUUCUUGCACCUUUCAAUACUAAAUCCAUGGCCAUCACACACUCACGCGCGCACAGACACGCACACACACACAGAGGCACACACACAGAGGCACACACACACACAGAGGCACACCACACACAUACAAAUAGUAUUGCGGUUGUUACUAUCAAUUUCUUCAACAUAAUCAACAUAGCCAGCCUUCUCGUCGUCGUCAUCAUCAUCAUCACAAUCAUUAUCCCCAUCAUUAACAUCACAUCCAUCCUCCUCGUUAUAAUUACUCUCAGCUGCAACAGCAUCAUCACUGUCAUCAUCGUCGUCGUUUUUGGCAUCAUCAUCAUCAUCAUCGACGUCGUCGUCGUCGUAACCAUGAUCAUGGCGGUCAUUAUAGUUUACCUCGAUCAUUAUUCAAAUGCAGAUGACUAUCGUUUCAUAAACAUCCCCUUCUGCCUCACCAUCUUCUUCUUCUCCUCCUCCUCCUUCACCUUUCCUCCUCCUCCUCUCCUUCUCCAUCUCAACCCCUUCGUCGUCAGACUUUCAUUAAUAAUUAAAUAAGAAUAAUCAAAACAUCGUUCUUUGUAUUCUACAUAAUAAUCUCAUCUUGGAAUACUUACCGACCGAGACUCGGGUGGUAUGUUCAGGUCUACCCACCUCCUCUGCCUCUACCAUCAUACUUUAUAGGUUCUAGCACGGCCGUCUGUUUAAACAGUUAGAUUCGUGGUUCGUCUCCACUAUGUGAUGUCUUGUGUAAGUACCUAUCAUCGUAACAUAAAGUCGAGCUGUGCCCUGGGGGUGAGUUUGGGAGACGAAAACUGCCAGGAAUCGAUCUAGGGGUGCUGUAUUCGUAAAUCUAAAGGUUUAGCCUCGCCUCUUCAUAUAUUGUGGUACAAGGAUUUUUGCAUGAGAAUAUUUAUGUUAAGGAUACUUGUGUCUGUGGUAUACCCAGCCACUUAUACGAGCAUACAAUGAGUAGAUCGUUCUACUGAUUGAUCAACUGGAAUGCUCAUCGCCGAAAUCGACGGAGAUUCAUUUAAUCUCUGCUAAUUCUGCUGCUAUAUUACUGAUUCGUAUGGCAUGUAUGUGUGUGUGUGUAAGUAUAGAGAUUGUAUGAUACUGUGUUCGAGAGACAUAUAAAAAACAACAACGCGAGGAUGUGGUACAAGCAAAGUAUUAAUAAGACGCUCAGGGAAGGAAAGAAAGAGUGUUUUACGUUUCGAGCAAAGCUCUUCUUCAGACACAGGAGACAGAAGAUAGUCCAAGAGAAAAGGAAGAAGGAGGAAAAAUAUUGCCAACAAUCCAUGCGUAGUUACACACACACACAAACACACACAUAUAUAUACAUACACAUAUAUACAAUAUAUACACACAUACGUAUACAUGGAAGUUUAUAUAUAUAUAUAUAUAUAUAUGAAGAAAUGCAUAGUAAAUAAAUAACGACAGAUAAAAAGUGUAUGCGUACACAACCGGACGGGAGGCAGACGCUGAGGGUCAUAUAUAUAUAUAUAUAUAUAUACGCACACACAUACACACAUACAUACAUACAUACAUACAUACAUACAUACAUACAUACAUACAUACAUACAUACAUAUACAUAUGUGUGUAUAUACAUUCAUACGUAUAAUUACAUAUAUUUAAAAGAUUGGUAGAAAGAUACAUAUUCACACACACACACACACACACGAACAUGCACACCUGUAUAUGUGUAUGUGCGUGUGCACAUAGAUAAAUACAUACAUACGCAUACAUGCAAAAACGCAAACACAUACAUGUACUCAGUGAUACAAACACACACGCAUAACACACACACAGACACACACACGUAUUUUAUAUAUAUAUAUAUAUAUAUAUAUAUAUAUAUAUAUAUAUAUAUAUAUAUAUAUAUAUGUAUAUGUAUUUACCGAAUCUCUGCCUGCAUAUUCCAUCUUAAUGAUCAGUGUAAUUAAUUACAUUAUGCAUUCUAAUUAAUUAAACUUUAAUUACAGCUAUUUAAUCUAUACGACUGCACGCUGUCACAGCAUGGUAUGACGUGUUGGUCAGUGGAAUCACUUAACGAAAUCCCACUCAUUGAUACAACAACGCUGGACAGCUGAAUUCUGCUUCAGCCACCGACACCAGCCUCUGCGAUACCUUCACAAACUCUGCUUGAUAAGACUUGUUAAUCACGUCCGCCAUGCUAAUUCUAUUUACUCUCCAUGAUAGCGUUAUCGUCAUCUUUGUUGAUGUUGUUGUUGUUGUUGCUUUUUUUAUAGUAGUUCUUGUAGUUGUAGUUGCUGUCGUUGCCGUAGUAGUUGUAGUAGUAGUGGUAGUAGUAGUAGUAGUAGUCUUUGAUGUUUUGUCGUUAUUGUUGUUGCUAUUUAUGUUGAGGCCAUUGCUGUUGGUUGAUGCUUUGUUAUAAUAGCAGCCUCAGGAGCAGCAGCAGCAGCAUUAGUAAUAGUAGCAGCCCCAACAACAGUAGCUGUAGUAGUAGUAGUGGUAGUAGUAGUAGUAGUAGUAGUAGUAGUAGUAGUAGUAGUAGCCGCAGCAGCAGUAGCAGUAGUAGUAGUAAUAGUAGUAGCAGCAGCAGUAUAGUAAUAGUAGUAUCAGCAGUAGGUGUGAUGGUCGUGGUGGUUGCUGUUAUCGCUGUUUCCGUUAUUACUGUAGUUGAUACCAUUGGUGGUGGUGGUGGUGGUGGUGUGUCAUUUAAACACCUACGAGUAUUACACAGUAUAUUAAUUAACCUCUCAGUACUCUGCAGCAUCUCAUCUAAAACCCUUUAUUACUCAGCACCAGUAACAGCCAUUGCAGUUCUUGAUGGCGAUGGCCCUGAUUGUGUUAUUGUUGCUGGGAGUCGGAUAUAAACAAAUAAUCCUUCCUUUCUUUUGAGCAAAGCGACAGCAUUUAUUUGACUUUUUGUCUUACUGUCCAUUCCCCUAUCAGCUUUGAUCGAGCAAAUAAUCUAUGACCAAAUAAAUAUCAGUCUUGAUAAACCAAUCAUUAUUACAUUAUCCAGUACGAUUUAAAUUACGUAGUACAGCAUUGUGUGGUUUGGUGGAGAUUUGGCUUCUAUUUCUGACAAGUCUAGUAUUUCGAAGAUGUUUCGUAUUGGCCUCUCUCUUCUUCAGUUGAAUGUGUGCAAAACUUCUCUCCUAAAUGUCUGGAAUUGUGUCAUAGCUGAUCUGGGCACGGAAUUGGGUGUUCUCCAGUUUUAUGUCUUCUGCUUACUGCAAUUUAUGCCAGACAGAUUUGGAAGAACACAGAAAGGACGGAUAGAAAACUAAAUGAACCCCGUCAAAGGUGGCUUAGAAAAAUACUGAGAAUCAGCAGGAGAGACUGUGUCAGGAAUAAGGGGAUUUUGAGAAGAGCGAGGUCAUGAGAAUCAAGAGAUUGUAGCAGAGCUCCGGUUCUGCCUGGCUGGCUAUAUUCUCCGUAUAGCCGAGUGGUUCCCAACCAUUAAAAAAAAAAUCUAUGGACCCCUUUGAUUACGAUUUUCUUCUGGUUUUUCUCCCACCCCUAGCUAUUCGUGGAGGUGCGUGGUUUAGUGGUUAGGGUGUUGGACUCCUGAUCGUAAGAUUGUGGUUUCGAUUCCUGGGCAUGACGACGCGUUGUGUUCUUGAGGAAAACACUUCAUUUCACGUUGCUCCAAUCAACACAGCUUGCGAAAAUGAGUUAUUCUGCGAUGGAGCGGCUUUCAGUCUAAGUGGGGAACUUAUGCGCCGUGAAAGCGGGAAACCGGUCCUCAUGAGUCGGUAUGACUCGAAAAGGUAACUCUACCUUUAAUAUAGCCAUUCGAUGAUUAAAAUCUAGUUUUAUGCAUAUCUCUUUCAAAAUUCGUGUUUUGUGUUGGUUUACAACAGAACUCACUAUGAGAACAAGUUUCAGUGGGUGGAAACAUGUUAAUCUAUGUAAAACAACAGAGAAAGAAACCUAGCUGUUUCUUGCAAUAGAUACAUCUAAAAUAAAACUUUUUUCUUGAGCCAUUAAAACAUUACCGUGGAUCCCCAAUUAACUAUUUUCCUUGCAAAAUCUUAUGCGGACCACCAGGGAUCACAUAGAUACCCUGCUUGAGAACCACUAAUUUAGCCGAUCAGUGGCACUCGAAAACAGCCAUGGUUCGAGUAACAGCUGACGUUAGGCUUAAAAAGGGCUGGCAGAAGAUCACUUGACAAGUGGGCAUUUCAAGAGGAAUUGAAAACAGCCAAAAUUAUGUGGAGUGGAUUUGUAAGAAUACCAGCCGACAGAACCUGGCAGAAGAAGCCUAUCACCCAAUGCGCUGACCAGCGCUGGAGGACCUAAAUCUUAAGGUAAGUUUUAUCAAAUAUUCUGUAAUCGGUGCAGUAUACAUCACGUUUAUUUUUAUCUCUUUAAUUGAACCAAUGAGGAUUUUCAAGUGUUUCUCCUUUACAUCUAUAUUAUGAUAAUCCCUAAAGACAGAUAGAAUCUGUAAAUUAGUCAUCAUAUUGGAUUAAAACUUACAAAAUAUUUAGCUGUUCGUUUUCACCUCUCUAUCCGUUUGUGUUUAGUUUCAACAGAAUACCCAACUUUUGAUGGAUCUUCCGUCGGUUUCGACGAGGGGAAGUUGGUUGACCGACAACUGAAUCCCUACUCAUGAAGUUAACGUAUAAGUUGGUUGUGUAUUCCACAAACGCAUAACGUAAUCAUCGCUUUGAAUCAACGUGGUUCAAUGGUGACAAGACUGGGCUUUUGAAUUAUAAAUACAAUACAGAAAGAGAUAGAUAGAUAGAUGGAAAGAGAGAGAGAGAGAGAGAGAGAGAGAGAGUAAGAAAGAAAGGAAGAAAGAAAGAGAAGGAGGUAGAGAGGGAAAGAGAGAGGGCGGGAGAGCGUGAGAGAGAGCAGGAUUAUCGACCCAGUACUGAACUGAUACUUUACUUAUCAGUUUAUGUUUCCAAUUUAGAGUGUAGACAGCCGGAAUAAAUACUGCAAGAUAUUCUGCACCACGCUCUCACAAUGUAACACCAAUAUUCCAGGCUGCACAACAUAGACGAAAGGUACAUGACAGAGCAUUCACAGGCUUUUCAUUGUCAAUAGGAUCUCUUUCGAGAAGCUAUGAUUUUGUAAAAUCUGAAAGUGAAGGAAGCAUGAUUUUAAGGAAACUUUAUCAGGAAAUCAAUACUUUAGGGAUACAUCGAUGCUCGUUUAUCGCAGGAGUUUAGUUAAAAACAAACAAAAAGAAAACACUGCAGUAAACGAAUCACGCCAUGCACAUUGUAAAUGGAACGAAUGCUAGAUUUAUUGACCCUAAAAUCGCAGUCCACAGCAACGAAGCUUCCACCAUCAAUUAUUUUCUUGAUCAUCUCUAGCUUUUUUCUGUAGGGAAACACACUUAUCUGUAGACACACUCAUCUGCAUAGUAUUUCAGGCUCAAGUGCCUUCGUAUUUUUUUCUGUUCACUGUAAAAUGUUUCACAAUUGAGCGUACCAUGUGAUUAAUCAGCGAUAAAUGUAUCAGUGAUAAUCAGGGCCACAUGUACAGCCUUACUGGACACUAUGAUCUUCUUGUUUAUUAUAAAUUCAGAAAGAAGAUUUAUUGACAUCAAACUUGUGGUCCACAGGAACGAAGCUUUCGCCAUCACUUACUUUCUUGAUCAUAUCUAGCUUUUCCUGUAGAAAAUACAUACUCAUCUGCAUAGAAUUUUAGGCUCAAGUGCUUCGUAUUUCUUUCUGCUCACUGUAGAAUGGUUCACAAUUGAACGUAUCGUGUUAUCCGGGAUCAGUGAUGAAUGACUUUGUUUUAUAUAAAUUCAUAAAGAAGAGUUAGCGGUCAUUGGAAUCUCCACAAGGCUGGUAGAGAUAGUUUCUUUGGCUUUUGCAAGGCCCAAGGGAUUGGUGAGAUCGAUACUGCUGAUGCUCAAUUUGACCCUUUAUAAGUGAACUUCAACCUAAAAAACGCUCGCUAACAAAACCAGUUCCAGAAGACUGAUGUUCUAGAGAGAAAAGAUUCGCCAUGAUGGUUAAUGCGAGCAAUGGGGUGUGAGUGAGUCAAACGAGAAUACGAGAGGUGAUUGUGUUGGUUGGUCUGAACAGCGAUGGCAUGUCGAGCUCACAUGAACAGAGACCGCUGUUGUAGAGAUUGUAAAAAAGAAAAAAAGAAUGAGAAAAGAAACGGAGUAAAGAGAAGAAUGAGGAAAUAGCAAAUAUGCAAACCAAAAGCUGAAGUGGUGAGUUCUUGGUCAAUCAGAGGGAUUGCUGUUGGUUGUAGCUGCUCUUUGGAAUGCAUCUUUUGCUAUUUGUAGGAUUUCUCGGAAAAAAUCAUCGUAGAUCGUGAAGUCAUAAAAUCUCAAUAUGUAAUCACUUUAACUGGUUUUAGCUGUGAGUUUUCUCAACCCUAGAAAGUGCGUGGGGGCUGCCCUCUAUCAUAGGAUCUUUGAACUAUGACCGUCGUUCUUUAUGGAAACAUCGUCAGCCAAACAAGUAUUUAAACACCGGGUGAAAUAACAGUUUGCUGACAGUUUUCACUAAACUCUUAGAUAAACAAACUAUUGUUGUUUUCUUUUCGUGUAUUUGUAAUUAUUAACUUAUGGUUCAGUUCGUCCUAAUCGAUAGAAGAUCGAUAACUAAUGACUAGUUAGUCAAUAAAUCAUUUGAUAAUAGUGAUUUGUAACAUUGGAAAAAUUCUACAACUGGUGGGUUCGGAAGGGGUAGAGGUGGGGAGUAAAAUUUGAUUUGAAUAAACCGCCAAUUCUUCUGUGUUCUUCCUUUUGUAGAACUCUCACAACGGAAGUCGAUUCAAUAAUAGUAAUAAUGAUGAUGAUGGUAUUAAUAAUAAAAAUAAUCCUUUCUACUAAAGGCACAAGACCUGAAAUUUGAGGGAAGGGGACUAGUCGAGUACAUUGACCCCAGUGCAUAACUGGUGCUUGAUUUAUCGACCCGAAAGGAUGAAAGGCAAAGUCAACCUCGGCGGAAUUUGAACUCAGAACGUAGCGACGGGCAGAAAUAUCGCUAAGCAUUUCGUCCAGCGCGCUAACGAUCCUACCAGUUCACCGCCAUAUAAUAAUAAUAAUAAUAAUAAUAAUAAUAAUAAUAAUAAUAAUGAUGAUGAUGAUGAUGAUGAUGAUGAUGAUGAUGAUGAUGAUGAUGAUGAUGAUGAUGAUGAUGAUGAUUAUAAUAAUAAUAAUAAUAAUAAUAAUAAUAAUAAUAAUAAUAAGAAGAAGAAGAAGAAGAAGAAAGAAGAUAGAAACUAAUAUACUAGAUAUAACGAUUGUAGAUAAGGAAAAGUGAAACUGCUUACUUAUCGACCCAUCAUGACCGUUUGUUUUGCAGGAUCGCAAAGAAAGAGGAAGUGAAACAAAGAAAAUACAAUUCCUUAAAAUUUGAAAUAGGAAGAAUUUGGAGUAUGCGAUCAGUAAAAGUCGUGCCUAUAAUAAUUGGUGCGUUGGGAAGAGGAAGCAAAGAUAUAGCCAAAUGGCUGAACGCGAUUGAAAUAGAAUGUCCGGUAGAGCUCCUACAAAAAGUUUGUCUCUUAAGGACAGCAAGAAUUAUCAGGAGAGUUCUAAGCACUUGAAAGACUGCCGAAAACUUACGGAUACUUAAGGUUACAGGUAGUAACCCGUUAUCCGCAUAAAUCUUGCCAGGAAUAAGACCGAAAUAAUAAUAAUAACAAAUGACAUCUUGCUCCGGUCCAGGGAGCAAUAUGUCAUCAUUCCUCUUUCCUCUCCCUUUCUACGGCCACACCUAGAAUACAACUGUCCGACCGCAGCCAACCCCCUCACCGCCACCGAAGUCUCUCUACACCAGAAAAAACAUAAUUUAUCUCUUACUUGAAUCAGUCAUUGGGCUGCGGUCAUGCUUGGGGACCGCUUUGGAGCCUUUUUAAUCGAACGAAUCGACCUCAUUACUGAUUUAUUUAAAGUCUGGUGCUUAUUCUAUUCGUUUCUUUUGCUGAACCACUAAGUUACGGGGACAUAACGCAUUAACACUGGUUGUCGAGCGGUAGAGGAUACAGACACAAAUACGCACACACACACACACACACACACACACACACACACACACACACACAUACUCACACACACAUGCACACACACGCAUGCACGCACGCAUGCACGUACACACACAUACACUCAAAUUGUAUUUACAAUUAAAGUUUUAGGGAGGAGAAUUUAUCCAAACUUUGUUAUCAAAAUGUCCCUUGUAGUGUGCCUACAGAGCACGUUCACCGCUUGCGGCUGCCAGGUGUCAUCCGGGGGUAGUGCACUUUCGUAGCUGGAUGUAUGAAAGGAAUUUCCAGGUGCACGCUGAAUUUAUUCUAAAUGAUUAAUACGGAAAACAGGGUGUAUUGGAAGCGUUAUUUAGAACAACGAUUGUUUCGGCUUACUUCUGUACUGUCCCCUAGUGAAUGGGGAACGAUGUAAGAGAAUCGAUUGCACCCCAUAGUGCAGAAGAAACAUCCCAGACGACAUAAAUGUACAUCUUAUAACACUGAACCACUUUUUGUAGGCCGAGGAGGUUUCUCUGCACUGUGGGGUGCAUUCGAUUCCAUUUCAUCGUUCCUCACCCACGAGGGAGCAGUGCAGAAGUCAGCCGAAACGAUCGUAGUCGUAAAUAAAGCUUCCAGUACACUUUGUCUUCCGUUUCAAUCAUUUAGUACAUAUGUAUAUAUACCGUAAAUCCUCGAGUAUAGUCCGCCCUUGAGUAUAAUACGCUGGGAAUUUUUAGGGGGCUGUAUCGUCCUUUAUUAUUAUUGUAUAUAUAUAACAUAAUGCAAACGUAUAGCUUUUUUGUGUAUUUUGUUUGCAGAAAAUAAAGAAAUAAUAGUAAUAACGUUUAAUAAAUGUUGCUUAUUGCAAGUUAUGGGUGAUUCUUUUAUGACUUCAUUGCUUUCAGGCUUAGCUUCAGGUAUUUUCGCUUCCGACAUCACAAAAUGCGUCUGAAUGCACAUUGCCAGACAGCAAAUAGAGACUCAGACAUUGCUUAGAAAAUACUUUUCAUUUUUAACCUCGUAUAUAGUACGCACUAGAGAUUUUGACCUUUAAAUUUUGGGUAAAAAAAUGCGAAUUAUACUCGAGGAUUUACGGUAUACGACAGGUUUCUUUCAGUUGCUAUCAACCAAAUCCACUCACACAGCUUUGGGCGGUCCGAGUCGAUGGUAGAAGACACUUGUCCAAGGUGCCACGCCGUAGCACUGAACCCAGAACCAUGUGGCUGAAAAUCAAUCUUCCUACGACACACCCACGACUAUAUGUAUAUAUAUAUAUAUAUAUAUAUAUAUAUAUAUAUAUAUAUAUAUACAUAUGAUGGUCUUGGCAUAGUUAGUUACUGUCUACCAAAGCAUGCUCAAAAAUUAUUGGUCAGCCAAGGGUUGUGCCUAUCGAAACUUGCGUAAGAUGCUGCACUGUACGACCGAACCUGCGCCCAUUCCUGAUAUAACUAUUUCGUUUCUAUCCUUAAGUUUUGAACUUUUAAAACACGUGGUACCUAUUCCAAAAGAUCGCAAAACAUUAGCGACACAAUACCGCUGUUGUUGCUAUUAUUGGUAUAGCAACUAUUGUAGAAAUCUAUGGUCAAAACCAAUUCAGCCGUAACCAUUCUCGCCUUUUUUCCGAGAUACAGUGAAGUUCAAGAUCCCAUUGCCCAAGAUGUCCUCCAUUACUUCUAACACGAUAGGAUGCCAUUAAAGAAGAUUUCUGCUGCUAUUGUAGAUGCCAGUCACAUUCAUAUUGUUUGUACUCUCAUAAACUUAGCCAUUUUGUGUUUACGUCUGCUUUUUUUUUCUUUUGAGACUUGAUGCAAGGAUUUUACUUUCCAGGAAUCUCUAGGGGAAAAUACGAAAAACAAUAAAAAUCUUUUCGAUUUGCCGCAAAAAUAAAACCAUUUAACGAAUAUAUAUAUAUAUAUAUUUACAUUCAUUCAUAUACGUAGAUACACUCCCCACACAUACACACAUACACACGCAUAUCUAUGUAUAUGUAUGUAUUUAUACGUGUGUGUGUUUGUAUUUGUGUGUAUGUGUGUAUGUGUGCAUGUGUGUGCAUUAAAAACUUAAGAAAAAAGGAAUAGUAACGAAUUACUUAUAAAGCAUAAGUAACAAUUUUCGCCAGCAUUCCCUACUUCCUUCAGACAUUUUAGAUUCAAAAUCAGAGAGCUUUGAAGGAAACAGAAGAUAUGUGCAAUAAAUCUAAGAUUGAUCAAUAAAUAAUCGUAACAACCACAAGAGCAACGACAACAAGAGCAGCAGCAGCAGCAGCAGUAACAAUAGCAACAACAGCAACAACAACAAUAACAACAGCAGGGAUUCCUGCUGUUAAUGAUAGUAAUGCUAGCUUUAAUAUGUUUUAGAAUAAACCAGAUAACAUGAUUGAGUGAGAGAAAGACUAAAGAACAAACGCAAUGGAAAAGCUAUCCCAUGCUGCUUAAAAUUCCAAUUAAAACAGUACAUAGUGUGUCCCUACUUGGUCGCUAAAUCUGCAAGAAACAGCAGCCAAAUCUCUCUAUUUCCCUCUAUUUCUCUCUGUCUCUCUAUUUCUCGAAUCAUACAAAACCGUCUUUAAAAAGACAAUGGCAUGACAUGUUGGCUGUUGUUGUCUGAGAUGAACUAUGAAGGAAUGGUCAUAACUGGAAAACACUUUCAUUAUCAUUUCCUUCGAACAGGUUAGACUCGAUCUGGACUGAAACAGCAAUAGUAAAAGCAACAACGAUAACAACAACGGCAAUCAAUAGUUAUCUUCUGGCUAUAUUUUAUUCUAUAAAUAAUCAUCAAUCUUGUUUAGAUUCACAAAUCCGGUUGUGGCUUUGACUGAAGAGGCACAAUGAGGUCGAAACACCGGUGUUGAAAGGUCUUCUCUAUGUCACUGAAUUGAGUGGAUUGGGAAUAUACAUCGUCUGAAGGUAGAAGCUGUUAUCCCAAAAUGAAAUACACUAUCGAUUAGUAUAGUCACAUUCAAAUCUACCAGAACAUGUUAAGAAUCUAUAUAUAAUCCUUAUAUAUCUACAGGUCAUGUAUUAACAGUGAAUAAUAUGAAGUAAAGUUCAAAAUUGAUAAAACACCCGAGAG